AAGACACACUCUGGAGAGCGGCCGGCGACGGCCCACCGAAGGGGGCGGCCCUGCAGCGAGUAAUCGCUGGCACGGCGCAAACUCUCAGGUUUCAGGACAGAGGGGCGGCU
rnacentral:ncRNA from 2 species